rnacentral:rRNA from 1 species
CCUACGGGGGGCAGCAGUGAGGAAUAUUGGUCAAUGGUCGGGAGACUGAACCAGCCAAGCCGCGUGAGGGAUGAAGGUACAGAGUAUCGUAAACCUCUUUUGUCAGGGAACAAAGGCGGGGACGCGUCCCCGGAUGAGUGUACCUGAAGAAAAAGCAUCGGCUAAUUCCGUGCCAGCAGCCGCGGUAAUACGGAGGAUGCGAGCGUUAUCCGGAUUUAUUGGGUUUAAAGGGUGCGCAGGCGGUCUGUUAAGUAAGCCGUGAAAGGCCGGGGGACAACCCCGGCGCGGCGGUGAAAACUGGCAGUCUCGAGUGGGAGGGAAGUAUGCGGAAUGCGCGGUGUAGCGGUGAAAUGCAUAGAUAUCGCGCAGAACUCCGAUUGCGAAGGCAGCAUGCCGGCUCCACACUGACGCUGAGGCACGAAGGCGUGGGUAUCGAACAGGAUUAGAUACCCUUGUAGUC